GGCGGCGGCGGCGCGGGCACCCGGCCCCCCAGCGGGAGGAUGAAGCGGCGGAACGCCGACUGCAGUAAGCUCCGCCGCCCCCUAAAGCGGAACCGGAUCACCGAGGGCAUUUACGGCAGUACAUUUUUAUACCUGAAAUUCCUGGUGGUGUGGGCACUUGUCCUCCUAGCAGAUUUUGUCCUGGAGUUCAGAUUUGAAUACCUGUGGCCAUUCUGGCUUUUCAUCAGAAGCGUCUAUGAUUCCUUCAGAUACCAGGGACUGGCCUUCUCAGUAUUUUUUGUUUGUGUAGCAUUCACGUCAAAUAUAAUAUGCCUGCUGUUCAUCCCCAUACAGUGGCUUUUUUUUGCUGCUAGCACAUAUGUAUGGGUUCAGUACGUAUGGCACACAGAAAGGGGAGUGUGUUUGCCUACAGUGUCUCUCUGGAUCCUCUUUGUUUAUAUUGAAGCAGCCAUUAGAUUUAAAGAUCUCAAAAACUUUCAUGUAGACCUUUGUCGUCCAUUUGCUGCUCACUGUUACGUAAGCUACAAAAUGCGGUUAAGGAAGCAAAAAGAAGUACAAAAAGAGAACGAGUUUUACAUGCAACUUCUUCAACAAGCUCUCCCUCCAGAGCAACAGAUGCUACAGAAGCAAGAAAAAGAGGCCGAGGAAGCAGCCAAAGGAUUACCUGAUAUGGAUUCUUCGAUCCUUAUACACCACAAUGGAGGUAUCCCAG
rnacentral:lncRNA from 1 species